rnacentral:rRNA from 1 species
CCUACGGGUGGCAGCAGUGAGGAAUAUUGGUCAAUGGACGAGAGUCUGAACCAGCCAAGUAGCGUGAAGGAUGACUGCCCUAUGGGUUGUAAACUUCUUUUAUAUGGGAAUAAAACGUUCCACGUGUGGGAUUUUGUAUGUACCAUAUGAAUAAGGAUCGGCUAACUCCGUGCCAGCAGCCGCGGUAAUACGGAGGAUCCGAGCGUUAUCCGGAUUUAUUGGGUUUAAAGGGAGCGUAGGUGGAUUGUUAAGUCAGUUGUGAAAGUUUGCGGCUCAACGGUAAAAUUGCAGUUGAAACUGGCAGUCUUGAGUACAGUAGAGGUGGGCGGAAUUCGUGGUGUAGCGGUGAAAUGCUUAGAUAUCACGAAGAACUCCGAUUGCGAAGGCAGUUCACUGGACUGCAACUGACACUGAGGCUCGAAAGUGUGGGUAUCAAACAGGAUUAGAUACCCCAGUAGUC